GACGAACGCUGGCGGCGUGCUUAACACAUGCAAGUCGAACGAUGAAGCCGGAGCUUGCUCUGGUGAAUUAGUGGCGAACGGGUGAGUAACACGUGAGUAACCUGCCCUUGACUCUGGGAUAACUGCGGGAAACUGUAGCUAAUACCGGAUACGACCCUCGGAGGCAUCUCCUGGGGGUGGAAAGAAUUUCGGUCAAGGAUGGACUCGCGGCCUAUCAGCUAGUUGGUGAGGUAAAGGCUCACCAAGGCGACGACGGGUAGCCGGCCUGAGAGGGUGACCGGCCGCACUGGGACUGAGACACGGCCCAGACUCCUACGGGAGGCAGCAGUGGGGAAUAUUGCACAAUGGGCGCAAGCCUGAUGCAGCAACACCGCGUGAGGGAUGACGGCCUUCGGGUUGUAAACCUCUUUUAGCAGGGAAGAAGCGAAAGUGACGGUACCUGCAGAAAAAGCACCGGCUAACUACGUGCCAGCAGCCGCGGUAA
rnacentral:rRNA from 1 species